UUACCAAAUUCGUUGCUAAACGGAGCGUCGGAGCCGUUCAAACCCGAGAAAGCUCGAAUUAUGGAAGUGCGAGCCGGCCGAUUAAGAUCCUAGUUUAGUUCAGCCGGGGAAAGGGUCCGCGGCAUUUAUUUUCUUAAUGACGCAAAAACUAGGGGUCUGAGAGAGUCUCUGAGUCUCUGACUCUGACCUCUUGGACCUAACUGUACCUGUCUUGUAUACGGUUUAAGCUUCCAUAACAAUCACCAGCACCAAACCCAGACAUCUCUCUCUCUGUAUUGACAAAUUGACCCAAUUUGAUAAAAACUAAAAAAUCGCCUAUUCUAUUGCUGUUCAAAGAGAGGAGGAAUUUGGAGUAUUUCAGAGAGAAGAGGAAGAGAAGAGAAGAGCGUUUUAAAGAGAAGAAGAAGAGAAAUCGGAACCCAUUCGAUUUAUUAAAGAGAAGAGGAAUUUAUUAGGUGUUUUAGUUUUAUUGUGUACUUGUGUAAUAAGGUGACGUGUCACUCAACUAUUGGAUGCUGCAAAAGGCAUUGUUUGCAGAUGGACCGCAUAGUAGGGGCACUCUUUGUAAAAUCCUCAAGCUGGUGAAUCGAUUUUGUUUUAGAAGCAGCGAGGAAAAGAAUCAUCCUUGUCCAAAAUGCUCUCAAAGUUCCAACUUCCCAGGCUUCUCUGUCAUUCACUUUGCCGAAGAAAAACCAUUGUCAAUCUGCUGCCUUUCAACUUCUUAUACAACCCUUUCUGCACCACGGCUGACUCGACCCAAAUCGCUGAGUCGACCGAGCUUCCAAGCUGGGUCAAAUUCAGUGAGACCCAGAACUCUGCAACCGCAGAUUCAGAUGAUGACUUUGUCAUACCUUCACUUGCUCAUUGGGUUGAGAACCACCAACUCCAUGAUCACGGCAAAGUUGUUAAGCCAACGCUAAGCGAAACUGACGUAGACAAAAUCAGCAAAAUCCUCAAGAAUCGGUACCCAUCGCCAGAUGACGUGGUUCAAGCUCUAAAUGGGUUUGGUUUUAUUGCAUCAACCAGUUUGGUUGAACAGCUUCUGAAGAGGUUUAGCAACGAUUGGAUCCCCGCUUUUGGAGUUUUCAUUUGGGCAAAAGUGCAAACAGGUUAUAAGCAUUCGCCGGAGUUGUAUGACUUCAUGGUUGAUGUCUUAGGAAAAUCGAGGAAGUUUCAUACCAUGUGGGAGUUGGUGGUGGAAAUGAAUCAGUUAGGAGGGUAUGUCACAUUAGUCACAAUGAGUAAGGUCAUGAGGAGGCUUGCAAAGGCUGGUAGGUACGAGGAGGCAGUUGAGGCAUUUAGGAACAUAGUGCGGUUUGGGGUGAGCAAAGAUAUCGUAGCAAUGAAUGUCCUGAUGGAUGCAUUGGUGAAAGAGAAUAGUGUUGAGCAUGCCCAUGAUGUUUUCUUGGAGUUCAAGAAUGUGAUACCUUUGGAUUCUCACUCUUUCAAUGUUUUGAUACAUGGGUGGUGCAAAGCCAGGAAAUUAGACCAUGCCAAAAAGGCUAUGGAGGAUAUGGAGAAACAUGGGUUUCAGCCCAAUGUAUCCUCCUAUACAUGUUUCAUUAAAGCGUAUUCUCAUGAAAAGGAUUUUCGCAAAGUGGAUGAAAUUCUUGAUGAAAUGAAAGAUAAGGGAUGCACACCUAAUGUGGUGACUUAUACUAUUGUAAUGCAUGCUCUAGGUAAGGCAAGGCAGGUAACUAAAGCGAUGGAGGUUUAUGAGAAGAUGAAGAGGACUGGUUGUGUUCCUGAUACUUCAUUUUAUAGCUCUUUGAUAUUCAUUCUUGGUAAGGCUGGUAGGCUUAAAGAUGCACGCGAUUUAUUUGAGGACAUGGAGAAGCAAGGAGUUAGUCGCGACGUACUGACGUAUAAUACUUUGAUUUCUUGUUAUUGCUCACAUUUGCAAGAAGAGACAGCUUUGAAGUUGCUUCAGAAAAUGGAAGAGGAUUCUUGCAAGCCGGAUCUCAAGACUUAUGCUCCUCUAUUGAAGAUGUUCUGCAGAAAGAAGAGAAUGAAGGUGCUUUAUAUCUUGUUAGACCACAUGUUUAGAAAUGACAUUAGCAUUGAAGUUGGAACUUACUUGCUUCUGGUGCGCGGUUUAUGUAAGAACGGAAAACUCGAACACGCUUGCUUGUUUUUUGAAGAGAUGGUGUUGAAGGGAAUGGUUCCAAAUGACUGCACAUACAAGAUGUUGAUGGAAGAAGUUGAGGGCAAGAGUAUGACAAAAGCAAAGGAACACAUUGAGAAGUUGAUGUCAAAUGCAAAAGAACAAAGAAGCAUCUAACACACCUUUUACAGUGCCUAGUACACAUCAGGCUGAAUUGGUUCAGCUGUUUUAUACUAUGGUUCUGUUUUCAAGAAACUUUGGAGGACAAAUUACCACUUCCCCUGUUGUUGAAACGACCAGUGUGUUUGACACAAUAUUGCCUGUUAAAGGUUUUUUUGGGCUUCUAGCAGCAAGGAAGGUUUGGAUAUUAACGAACUCCAGGCAUGGCAUAGCCACAAUAAGGGGCUCCAAAAAUCCAGAAAUUUUACAUGAAAAAAAUAAUACAUGCACCACAUGUACUCCGUGUAUCCAAAAUUUUUAGAAUAAUACUACUUUUUACAUUCAUUUAUCACACACUUCAUACUUGCUAAUAUGACAUAUUUUAAGUGGCUGACAUAAGAAAUUACUUAAAAUAUACCAUAUUUGUCAAUAUGAAAUAAGCAUGAUAAAUGCGUGUGCAUAAUAGCAUUACUCAAAAUUUUAAGCUACAACAAUUGGACAGUUGGUGUUCCUACAAAUGUUUUCCAGAAGCAGAACACAGCUGAUAUAAUUAGCUUUUCAAAAUUAUGUUGUGCUUCCUUCAAAGGACACUUUUGGUGGGAUUUUUGACAUGUUUCAGAACCUCACAUCCAAUGCCCAUGUACCACAUAUUGAAUUUGAGACCUCUUCUAGGUGUUCAUCGCAUUGCCUGUGAACAUCAUAUUUGCCCUUCCAGCAGAGGAGGCCGUUUUUCUUUCCAUAACCAAGCAGGCUUGUCACUUAAAGCAUUGCCCAUGUAAAUUGUUUGUUUUAUGUAGAGCUUAUACUUGCAGAUUCUACUGGAUCAUAUUGUGGCCUGUUAAAAUUGGUUCACUUCCAAGUUUGCAAAGGGAA